UGCCCAGCGCGCCUUUUUAGUCACGGAUUUCCGAGAAACUAAAGUGAAAUUCAAUGAAAAGUAAAUGACAGCCGCAGUCAUCGGCGCCUACAACAGAGCUUGUUGCCUAUCUAGUAAAAAAUGCCUUUUCUAAAGACAACAACUAAGAAAGGAAGACCUAAACUGAUUUCGCUGGCCGGCAAAGUUUUUAUUCGCCAUUUUAAAGAUUGCUAAGAGUGGCUAACAGCUAGCACCAAACAUAAGUUAUUUUGUUGGCCGUGUUUUUAAUACGAGUAAAGGGACGUGCCAUGCUCAUGGACAGGUAAUGGGGACAUGCAGUAACGGAUGGCAGGGUACCAUGACACACACAUCCCAUCCUUGGACAGGUGUUUCAGUUUGCCAAUGAGAGGAAAUGGGAUCUUUACACCCAAUUUGAAGUGAAGCUUUCUUCAACUCUGAACACUGCUGAUGGUUUGAUUUCAGGCCAAGUGUCGACGUUCAGCUGCAGAAUGCGAGUGUCAGUUUUGUUUGGAGUGCGAAGACUCAUGUUCACACGCAGUUUGGUGAUGAAAGACAUGAUUGACAAUCACAUUCUAUAGGUGUAGGGAGGUUUAAAUGUUUACAUUAGCCAGGUUUGAAGAGCUCAUACAGUAUGCGCUGUUUGAAUUAGACAAAUGUCUACGACUUUUCAUGUUAUCGACGUGAAGAAUGUAUGGUAUGAGCAGCAUGCUUCACAAGUUUCUCUUUUGCGGGCAAUUACUAAUGUUAAGGCUGCUGUCAGCCCCUGUCAGGUUAUAAAAAUGUUUUGAAUAGCUGUAGCGCGAUUGCCAAGCAAAACAAAAUUCAUAUUGAGCAUCUGGCCGCAUAAGAAAAAAAGUGGGCGUACAAAAGUCAUGUUCAUGGGUUUGGGGUUGGUAAGAUUUUAAUGUUCAUUAAUGAAGUCGGUUAUGUUCACAAAUCCGUAAUUUCAUAAUAAAUAAAAUUAUGUAUUUCAGUUUUGUUUGUUACAGUGUAUGUAAAUGUCUUCAAAACGAUAUAUAAUUGUGUAUGCGUGUUAGCGCUAUCAAAUGAUUAGUCGUGAUUAAUCACAUUGAAAAUAAGUAUUUGUUUG